rnacentral:rRNA from 1 species
AUUGAACGCUGGCGGCAGGCUUAACACAUGCAAGUCGAGCGGGGUGAUGGUGCUUGCACUAUCACUUAGCGGCGGACGGGUGAGUAAUGCUUAGGAAUCUGCCUAUUAGUGGGGGACAACAUCUCGAAAGGGAUGCUAAUACCGCAUACGUCCUACGGGAGAAAGCAGGGGAUCACUUGUGACCUUGCGCUAAUAGAUGAGCCUAAGUCGGAUUAGCUAGUUGGUGGGGUAAAGGCCUACCAAGGCGACGAUCUGUAGCGGGUCUGAGAGGAUGAUCCGCCACACUGGGGCUGAGACACGGCACAGACGCCUACGGGAGGCAGCAGUGGGGAAUAUUGGACAAUGGGGGGAACCCUGAUCCAGCCAUGCCGCGUGUGUGAAGAAGGCCUUAUGGUUGUAAAGCACUUUAAGCGAGGAGGAGGCUCUUUUGGUUAAUACCCAAGAUGAGUGGACGUUACUCGCAGAAUAAGCACCGGCUAACUCUGUGCCAGCCGCCGCCGUAA